rnacentral:lncRNA from 1 species
AAAAGGGGCUUGUAUAUAGAGAGAGGCUCCCAGGAAAAAAGAUGUAUGGUUUAUAUAGAGAGAGCUCACCCUAGGGUCUACCCAAAUUCAUUAGACCCUUGGGUGAGAGAGGGUUCACCAUUAAUAACAGUCAAAAGCAUACGGAAUCGUAGAUUGUUCAUGCUUCAAAAGUGAAAAAGAAAAGAUGGCUUUUUAUUUUUCUUUAAAAUGUUAAAGGCAUCGAAUAUGGUAAUGCAUCAAUCCUCAUACUUGGGGAACUUUCCCCAUCAUUCCCCAGGGCAAGGAAAGUUGAAGACCACCUAGAUAGGUUGCCUUCAACUUCCCCACUACGGGAAUGAUAGAGAAAGACGUGGAUUUUUUUUUUUUUGGGCCGCUUUCACCCGAACAUAUGGGUGAAAGGCAGGCAAUGUGAAAGGUUGGGAAAGCCGCGAACUUUCCCACCGUUUCAUGGUUAUCCAACAGAGCCUUGGAGAACACUUAGAAACCGUAUAUUGGAGCUUUUUAAAAUAACUUGUUCUGCAGGGUGGGGUGGGAGGCAGAAUCAUCAGGGUGGAUCAUAAUAUGCAUUUCAUAUGUUACAUUUCUGUUCAGCCUCGCCAUUUUCUUGUGUCGUUGUUUAAAGAUUUCUCCUUGGUAAUUUAAAGGCUAGAUAGGCUCCCUUGGUGGCAUGGGAGGUUCAUAGUUCCAAUAGAUGCACUUGAAGAUUGUUUAUGCAUGAGGAUAGGUUCAAAGUAAGAUUGAUAGGGCAUUGUCAGAAAGGUGGCUAUGUUGUUUACUAUAUGAGCAGUAAAGGGUUGUGCAAUUUUUGUAAUUCCACAAUUAUAUGGUGAGGGUGAGGUGUGGUGAGGGAGGGAUUGUAAAGUAUGGUACAUGCCAGCAAACAGGCCACUUCUUCAUGAGUGUGCGCUAUCAAAGUCUUCUGCGUGUUAUGCGCAGCACUUGGGAUGUCUGAUAUGGAGUGACAAAUUGUGGGACCAAAACUUGUGAGUCCCAUUUCUUGAUCUUUGAGCUACAUAUCAUAGUGUGAGGCGGAAGUAGCC